ACCCGGUAGCGUAGCGGUUAUCGCGCAGCAGACUUGUGUGAAAGUUUCAAGUUGAGAGCAGUCACACAAUUUGUGCUGUAGCCCUGUUCAACUCGGGGACUGGGUG